rnacentral:sRNA from 1 species
CGAACGCUCCCUCCGCCGCAAAGAUGCCCCCUUCCGCUGGAAAGCGGUGCCUCCCUGGGUGCUCGCGAAAGCAGCCCUGAGAAUGGCAGCUCUCAGAGGUUGAAGUCAUUCUUUUCGGGGGACGGGGCACGGCGACUGUUUGAUUGGGGGCCUCGCUAGAGGAAUGUGCAAGGACAGAAGGGAAACUGAGGAGACCCGCAACUCAUUAGCAAAAUAAUAGGGUGCACUUCAAUAAAAAUGCGGUCCUGAAGUGGAGCGGACUCACCUGCAAGGAGCCCGGAAAAUCGACAGGGGCGGCGGCAAAAUACUAUCAAAUCAGCCUGGGAAGCAGCUUUUCUCUCAGCAAGUUCAAGAGAACAAAUAUGUUAUAAUCCUUGCCUAUUCUUGCCUCCACUUCAUAAUGUCAUAAAAGCCACCUGGGGUAUCAUUUAUCAACCUCUCUCCAGCCCACUCUUCCAAAAUAAUACUACAGUUUCCUACAUGUGUAUUUUUGCCAGGACUCCAAAGAGCCUUGCUAAAGUGGAACAAGGAGUAGAGAAUUGAACUGUGAAAAAGAAGCCCGAGAUCCCCCAGCGAAAUAGUGUUGCAGCCCCGUUGAAGGAGUCAACUUGCAGGCUGUUAAAGACCUCAAGUCAUUAGAAUCAGCUGCUGCACUAAAGGGGCAAGUCAGCGCCUCUAAGUGGCUUAGCGCACAAACGAGGCUCCCGAGACGGCCUCGGCAACUCCAUCCCCUCCUCCACCACCCGCUGGAUGUGAAAAGCUUUCCGGAGCCCAUCUUG